ACAAAGACAAACAAGGCUGGUCACUUAUUUUGUCCUACUUUAGCCGAGAGAGAGAGUAGAGAGAGUUGAGAGGAAAGAUUUGUGUCCUGCUCCAACCUUCCAUCCGAGAGAAGCUUGAGAGAAAAUAAAGAAAUUUCUCUUGUUUUGCUUCCACUUCAGCCAAGAGCAACGAGAGAGAGAAAACUGAAAGGAAGCUUGUGUCUUACUUCCAUUUCCAGCUUGCUUGGAUCGAGUAGAAGGACCAAAACUAGGGAGUUAACUUCUAGCUUGUUUUAAAGAUUUGAACUCCAACCAAGGAGUUGGAUUUGAACGUGAUUUUUGAGAGGCACUAGACCUUUGGGGGUACGAGCAAGGCGUGAGACUUGUGCAGGCUAGCGUAGUCUAAUUUUUGGAAAUUUUGUAAUUGUAUUCGCACUAGUUGCUCGAUUAGGGUUGAAUGUACUUAGAACUCCAAAUCUUUUGAUGUAUUUGGGAUUGUAUGUAAGUUGAGUUGAGAUAGAAAUGAAUGUAUUUGUACAUUUCAAACUUGAAAAUGGUUGUUUCUUUUAUGUUUAAGGUUGUGACUUAUUUUAUUCGAAAUAA